GAUGAACGCUGGCGGCGUGCCUAAUACAUGCAAGUCGAGCGAACAGACGAGGAGCUUGCUCCUCUGACGUUAGCGGCGGACGGGUGAGUAACACGUGGAUAACCUACCUAUAAGACUGGGAUAACUUCGGGAAACCGGAGCUAAUACCGGAUAAUAUAUUGAACCGCAUGGUUCAAUAGUGAAAGACGGUUUUGCUGUCACUUAUAGAUGGAUCCGCGCCGCAUUAGCUAGUUGGUAAGGUAACGGCUUACCAAGGCAACGAUGCGUAGCCGACCUGAGAGGGUGAGCGGCCACACUGGAACGGAGACACGGUCCAGACUCCUACGGGAGGCAGCAGUAGGGAAUCUUCCGCAAUGGGCGAAAGCUUGACGGAGCAACGCCGCGUGAGUGAUGAAGGUCUUCGGAUCGUAAAACUCUGUUAUUAGGGAAGAACAAAUGUGUAAGUAACUAUGCACGUCUUGACGGUACCUAAUCAGAAAGCCACGGCUAACUACGUG
rnacentral:rRNA from 1 species